rnacentral:lncRNA from 1 species
GAAGAUAUAAUAAGGCUUAUGUGUGAUAGAGCAUAUCAUAUCACGGGGUUUGGAUGCACCGGCGAUGUUUGCACCGACUCUCGAGGUGAGAAAGGGCAAUGCACGAUACCGUAGAGGCUAGCAAAUUGCGGAAAGGUAAGAGUGCGUAUAAUCCAUGGACUCACAUUAGUCAUAAAGAACUCAUAUACUUAUUGAAAAAAUUUAUUAACCAUCGAAGCAAAGUACUACUACGCAUGCCCCUAGGGGGAUAGAUUGGUAGGAAAAGACCAUCGCUCGUCCCCGACCGCCACUCAUAAGGAAGACAAUCAAUAAUAAAUCAUGCUCCAACUUCAUAGCAUAACGAGAGACUAUACGUGCAUGCUUCGGGAAUCACAAACCUUAACACCAAUAUCUAUCUAUUAUAUAACUAAAAUAGAAGACAAAUAAGACACCACGUUAAUCCACAUAGACUAAUAUUAUUACCACCGUUUGAUCAGAAUAACAAUGGCUCGGAUUUAAAAGAUUUUACGUAACAUGUUAAUAUGUAUGCGUCGGCAAAUUGAACUGUCACGUCUGUAUGGAUACGCACAAAUAAGGCUCAUCAACAGAAUUGUAGAAGGAAGCACCGGCUAAGAAUCGAAGACGUACAUGCUUUCGCCAAAAAAAACACAACACAAAAUAAAUUAUCUCUACCACUAAUGUUAGAUAAACACGUUACAUGUCUAACUAUUGUCACGUGCAAUUUCUAAUCGGGACUCUAAAGGACACAUACAUAACUCGGACACUCGGUAAGCCGAGGACACAUAAUAAACACAUACAAAGAGUACUAAUGGACGGACAGAGUCCCCAUAAAAAUACAAAUCUGGCCGCAUCCAUCAGCCUAUUGUCACAUAUAUCCUUUAAUUGGAAAAAUAUAUAGAUAUACAAGGACUCCAUAAGGACACGGCCAGAACUCAUCCAUCAAAAUACACAGUCGGCCGCACCCAGCAGCCAGCACACACGGCCAGAACUCAUCCAUCAAAAUACACAGCCGGCCGCACCAGCAGCCAGCAGACGCCCACCAUCCGCCUGGAAAUCUAAGACACCCAGCAACUCGCGACUUAGCACCACGACCAGGAAAAUUGAAGCCAACCAACGCUAUGACGCCGUGACUCGACGAUCUCACCACCAGGACAAUUGAAGCGAACACUCUAUGAUAUGAGAUGUUCAGACUCGGCGCUCAGCCAAUAUCGAAGCCUUAUGAAGUUGCAUGCAACUCUUUUCUACAUGUCACACCCAACCAUCUGAGUUUCCUUCUCACCUGAAUCAACAAGGUUAGUAAGUAUUAUUACUAUGAACUCAAUUUUUUCAGCUAAAAUCUUCAUAUGAACAUUAUCAAUUGACAACUACAUUUUCAAUCCUUUUGAAGCAAUGCAUUUUAAUCUUUUUGAAGUGAAAACACUAGGGAAUACAAGAAGCUGAGAGACUUCAACAAGAGACCAAAACUGGGAUGUUUAUGUGGAAGUAAUGAGAACACAUGAUACAAUCAAUCCUCCAAUCAAUGAACUUAUGAGCCUUGAUGUGAUGAUCUUGAUGGAUGAGCAGGUUUAUGCUAUACAUAUUCAUCGACAACCAAAUUGUGUAUUGUGACCUCAACAAUAGUGCAAAAAUUCAAUGGUAAGUCCAACAAUUUUAAAACCUGAUAUGUUAUUUACAAAAAUAAAAAUACCUAACAGAUUUGUUCUUGAUACAUUUGUGCCCAUAGUCAACCAGUGGCACAGGAAUAUAUACCAAUCUUGAUAUACCCAAACCUCAGGAACUUCUUAACUGGUAUGAAACACCAACUAUUCUGACUCAAUGUCACUCCAUAUAUAUAGGCACCCAGCGGAAGAAUCCUUACGAAAAAUGAUCGAUAUUGAUAGAGUACUACAACGCACGCUAGAAGAGAAAAUGUUUUAUGGAAGGGUGUUACAAGAACUUCCUUAGAUGAGGCAAAAAAAUAGACAAAUCAGGUAGUCACAAUUCAGUCAUAUAUGUUAUAAUAGCAUCUUACUUGACUUAUAUAUGUCUAACAAUUUCUUCAAAAUGCGAACUUCGAUUUUCUUGUUAAUUUUUAGGAUUGUGUUCAUUGAUUUGAGAAAUCUACUAAUUUGAACAGGAAAGUUUCUAUUAUAUUUACUUUGCACUAAUAACAAUGGCAUGGUGGGUGCCAUAUUCAACUGCAAAUUAGCAUUGUACAAUUACUACAAGUUGCACUUUAUUUGACAAGGACAAAAAGUUGCUUAAUACAUUUGUCUCAAAAUUGCUAAAUUCAUUGGAUGGGAAGGAAAUCUAAAGGAGUGCCAAAGAUUAUACAAAAAUUAUAUGGAAGAAGAUUUAUCUUUCUCUUCGGCAUGCAAAACUAUGCAGUAAAAUGAACAUACAUACCCGAUGAUGGGCUUGAUAUGUUGUACUAGAAUGAUAUGUUCUUUAAAAAUUAAGUAUUGUGUUUCUAUUUUUAUUCACUGAUACAUCUAGCAUGCCACAUAGGAUUUGAUGAAUGAUGAAGUGGACACCAUCUUAAAAUAAGGAAAGAAGAACAUGCCAGCUAUAGGAGUAAUUGUUUUUGCACUAUAUACUUUUGCAUUUUUAAAGAUAUGUCUAAUUUUUGAAAUUUAUUUUUAUUUUGCAGUCAUAGAAUAAUAAAUAUUCAACUAGGAAAAUGUAAUGUGGACUGAUGUCUGCGAUAGAGGAACCACAUGGUACUAAUGGGACUAUAGUAAAUGAACAUGAGCAUGGAAAUAAAAUAUUAUCGUCACACGGACUCCAUGAUACAAAAUAAAGACCAUAGUUAUAUACUUAUAAGCACAAAAAAAUGUCCUCAAGAACAAGAAACCCUUCAAAGCAAAUGUCGAAAGUACAAUGUUUAAAGAUGAAGACUCAUAUGCUCGCUUUGGCGGCAUCUAAUGGUGAGGUUAAAUUAGGUUUUGGAUUGUACUGACCAAGAUUAUUUACUCAGUCAAAAGUUGGAUUUAAAAAUAUUAAUUUCCCCUAUUUUUUGACGGGUAACGGUAGGAGCUCUGCCAAUUCAUUAUAGAGGAGGGAAAACUGUACAUGCUGUUACCAGCAGGGAAAGAACAGAGAAGGAAAAGAAAACUAGACAAACAAAGCUAAUUAGUCGCAGAAAACUAGCCCGAGGGCCUCUAUGUAUGCAUGUAUGGUCAGUAAAAAUAGUUUGUUCUGAUGGUUACAGUUGAUAAAUAAUGCAGAUAUCAGUAAGUGUGAGCAUCAUGACCAGUACCCUUGCGAAGGAGGCUGCAAGAAUAAGCAAGGAUCCUAUGAAUGCACACACAACAAGAACUCACACAGUGCUAAUUCGUACAAAGAACUCUGCAGGCCAAAUUUUCCACUGGAAGCAGAGAUUGACAUAGGUAUUUAUGUGCCGAUUCACCUAGAGGCAUCACAAGUAUCACCUAGACCCAUUAAGCCAGUCGAGAAUUGGCUGCAUGUUAAUUAAAGCAUAUGAAGCAAUUUUUAGUUAAAACAUGCAAGAGUUUUUGCUUUGUCUUAAAUAAACGUAUGAGUUAUCUAACUUGCUAAUAUGUUGUUACAACAAAUAGAAAAUUAUAUACUUUUUGGCCCAACUAGAAGGGGAAACAAACAUGUGAAGAAUUGGGUGCUAUGGAGGAAGUAGGAACGAUGCAUAGCUGUGGCGCAUCGAUCAUACCCAGCAUGCCGACCUCUAUCCUGUGUCACGGAUCCAAUAAUUGAAAUUAAUCACAUCCCGUAUGAAGCAUAAAAAUAUAUUAUUGACAAUCUAAAAAUGAAAGUAAAAUGGUGAAAAUUAACAGACAUGCUAAAGCCAGACCUGGGUGAUUGGAGAAUAAGAGAACGACGAGGAAAACUUUGAAGGAGAUGGUCGUCAAACGCGACGACACAGCUCUCUGUCCCGGCGUCUGCCUCUCCAAUUCAGCAGAGAUGAGAUGCCGCAUCAUGGGAAGGCGAGCAGCGCUAGAUCCGCGGCCAGAAGCUUUGCGCCACCCCGCCUCGGCCAGACCUCGAUCCAAAGAGCAGUAAGAGAAAGGGGAUCCCAUUUUUUUUCAUGCCUGGGUGCUUCGGGUACAACGGUGGCCAGUAUAGUCUAGAAUUUUC